ACGAACGCUGGCGGCAUGCCUAACACAUGCAAGUCGAACGAGACCUUUGGGUCUAGUGGCGCACGGGUGCGUAACGCGUGGGAAUCUGCCCUUGGGUUCGGAAUAACAGUGAGAAAUUGCUGCUAAUACCGGAUGAUGUCUUCGGACCAAAGAUUUAUCGCCCAGGGAUGAGCCCGCGUAGGAUUAGCUAGUUGGUGGGGUAAUGGCCUACCAAGGCGACGAUCCUUAGCUGGUCUGAGAGGAUGAUCAGCCACACUGGGACUGAGACACGGCCCAGACUCCUACGGGAGGCAGCAGUGGGGAAUAUUGGACAAUGGGCGCAAGCCUGAUCCAGCAAUGCCGCGUGAGUGAUGAAGGCCUUAGGGUUGUAAAGCUCUUUUACCAGGGAUGAUAAUGACAGUACCUGGAGAAUAAGCUCCGGCUAACUCCGUG
rnacentral:rRNA from 1 species